AACGAGGCCGACCUGCGGCUGAGUUACCUGCGGAAGGAUCAUUACUGAGUGUAACCCUUUUUUCAGAGGGUGCCUCCCGUCCUUUGCAGGCCCUUAGGGGCUUUUUGACUUUGCUUCGGCGGGGUUCCCCCGCCGGAACACCCUCAAGAAAAUCUCAAUUAAAACCGUUCAGUCCGAGGGCUUUUGCGAAUAAAUUAAAACUUUCAACAACGGAUCU
rnacentral:misc_RNA from 1 species